rnacentral:rRNA from 1 species
AGUGGCGGACGGGUGAGUAACACGUAAGAAUUUGCCUUUAGGAGGGGGACAACAACUGGAAACGGUUGCUAAUACCCCAUAUGCUUUCGAGUGAAAUGGAUUUCCGCCUAAAGAGAAGCUUGCGGCUGAUUAGCCUGUUGGUGAGGUAAUGGCUCACCAAGGCGACGAUCAGUAUCUGGUUUGAGAGGACGAUCAGACACACUGGAACUGAGACACGGUCCAGACUCCUACGGGAGGCAGCAGUGGGGAAUUUUCCGCAAUGGGCGAAAGCCUGACGGAGCAAUACCGCGUGAGGGAUGAAGGCCUAUGGGUUGUAAACCUCUUUUUUCAGGGAGGAAUAAAUGACGUGUACCUGAAGAAUAAGCAUCGGCUAACUCCGUGCCAGCAGCCGCGGUAAGACGGGGGAUGCAAGUGUUAUCCGGAAUCACUGGGCGUAAAGCGUCUGUAGGUGGUUAAGUAAGUCAACUGUUAAAUCUUGAGGCUCAACCUCAAAAUCGCAGUCGAAACUGCUUGACUAGAGUAUGGUAGGGGUAAAGGGAAUUUCCAGUGGAGCGGUGAAAUGCGUAGAUAUUGGAAAGAACACCGAUGGCGAAGGCACUUUACUGGGCUAUUACUAACACUGAGAGACGAAAGCUAGGGUAGCAAAUGGGAUUAGAUACCCCAGUAGUCCUAGCUGUAAACAAUGGAUACUAGAUGUUGA